rnacentral:rRNA from 1 species
AGAUCCUGCCAGUAGCCAUAUGCUUGUCUCAAAGAUUAAGCCAUGCACAUGCAAGUUUAUACUGACUAAGUGAAACUCUGAAUGGCUCUUUAAAACAGUUAUGAUUCCAUUGAUCGCCACAUCCUACAUGGAUAACUGUGGUAACUCUAGAGCUAAUACAUGCGGAAGAAGCGCCGACUUCACAGUCUGGCGUGCAUUUAUCAGACCAAGACCAACCCGGGGUUCGCCCCGGUCCCUUUGGUGACUCUGGAUAACCCAGCGGAUCGCAUGGUCUUCGCACCGGCGACAGAUCAUUCGAAUGUCUGCCCUAUCAACUUUCGAUGGUAGGUUCUGUGCCUACCAUGGUGGCAACGGCUGACGGGGAAUCAGGGUUCGGUUCCGGAGAGGGAGCCUGAGAAACGGCUACCACAUCCAAGGAAGGCAGCAGGCGCGCAAAUUACCCACUUCCAACUCGCGGAGGUAGUGACGAAAAAUAACAAUACGAAUGACAAUUAAGAUAACAAUUUGAGGUCCCGUAAUUGGAAUGGGUUCACUUAAAAUCCUUUAACGAGGAUCUACUGGAGGGCAAGUCUGGUGCCAGCUGCCGCGUAAUUCAGCUCCAAUAGCGUAUAUUAAAAUUGUUGCGGUUAAAAAGCUCGUACUUAGAUCUUGGGACCGGGCUUGCGGUCCGCCGCGAGGCGUGUCACUGCUCGUCCCGGCCCUCCCCGCCAGAUUCUCCCUGGUGCUCUUACCUGAGUGCCUCAGGGUGCCGGUGACUUUUCCCCCCUUUCGGCUGCUUAUCGUGUUCCCGCCAAAGUCUUGUUUGUUUACAGCAGUAGACCAAGCCAUGCAUUCUCAGGCGACCGAGCGGGGUGUCCGGCGAGUCCUGCGGUACCACGGGGAUAAACGGGGUAGGGGCUCGGUCGACUGCGGUGGCAGGCAGCUAGCGAGUGCGUCUUGAGCCGGCCGAACACGGAUAAGUCUCCAGCGAGAAAAAAAGUUAUGAUUGUGGGGUAACUUUUCUCCCUCACUCGGUUUAACGCGGGUUGCGAGCAAAGCGCCGGCUGUCUGAUAGUGGCAGAAGAGACUAUGGCUUUGCCAGGCGGCCGUUGCAGGUAAAGACGCGGUCACAUUUCCCAACCCGGGCCCGGCCGGGCAGCCGUUUGGAACGAAAAUUAUGAGACAGCAAAACACAAAAAAAGUUUU